UGUGCUUUGUGUGUACAUGCAAUCGGCCAGCAAAGGUGAAAAGAAGAAGAAGAAGAAGAAAUGUGAUCAAACUCCAAAUUGGAACUAGAUUCCUUCCAUAAUCCAUCUUUUCAUCGUCUCUUGGUGAUUUAAAAUCCAAACUUCAACAUCUGAUGGUUUGGCAUACUAGAAUUCGAUUGUAGAUUAUAAACCAGUCGAUGGGACUGCUGAACACAUAAUGUAAACACCUUGAUGGUUGAUCUACUAUGAAUUCUUGGAUAGAAAGACGAAGGCAACCUUAGUAAACUAGCACUGGUGUUUAUCUAGUCAACUUUCAUUGAAGUUUGUUUGUGCCAACUUCUAUAAACCCCACCCACAAUGAUUUUUGUAUAUAUAGUUAAACAUGUAAAUGAUCUAGGUUUUGCUUCCGCUGAAGUAGUUUAAUGUGUUUACA